rnacentral:rRNA from 1 species
AGAACGAACGCUGGCGGCAUGCCUAACACAUGCAAGUCGAACGAGACCUUCGGGUCUAGUGGCGCACGGGUGCGUAACGCGUGGGAAUCUGCCCUUGGGUACGGAAUAACAGUUAGAAAUGACUGCUAAUACCGUAUAAUGACGUAAGUCCAAAGAUUUAUCGCCCAGGGAUGAGCCCGCGUAGGAUUAGCUUGUUGGUGAGGUAAAGGCUCACCAAGGCGACGAUCCUUAGCUGGUCUGAGAGGAUGAUCAGCCACACUGGGACUGAGACACGGCCCAGACUCCUACGGGAGGCAGCAGUGGGGAAUAUUGGACAAUGGGCGAAAGCCUGAUCCAGCAAUGCCGCGUGAGUGAUGAAGGCCUUAGGGUUGUAAAGCUCUUUUACCCGGGAUGAUAAUGACAGUACCGGGAGAAUAAGCUCCGGCUAACUCCGUGCCAGCAGCCGC